ACGGGAGGCAGCAGUGGGGAAUAUUGGGCAAUGGGGGAAACCCUGACCCAGCAACGCCGCGUGAAGGAAGAAGGCCUUCGGGUUGUAAACUUCUUUUACCAGGGACGAAUUUUGACGGUACCUGGAGAAAAAGCAACGGCUAACUACGUGCCAGCAGCCGCGGUAAUACGUAGGGGGCAAGCGUUAUCCGGAUUUACUGGGUGUAAAGGGAGCGUAGACGGUUUGGCAAGUCUGAAGUGAAAUGCGGGGGCUCAACUCCUGAACUGCUUUGGAAACUGUCGAACUAGAGUGCAGGAGAGGUAAGUGGAAUUCCUAGUGUAGCGGUGAAAUGCGUAGAUAUUAGGAGGAACACCAGUGGCGAAGGCGGCUUACUGGACUGUAACUGACGUUGAGGCUCGAAAGCGUGGGGAGCAAACAGGAUUAGAUACCCUGGUA
rnacentral:rRNA from 1 species